UUCAUACGUUACUUUCGUCAAUCAAUCAGUUACAGAUGGCUGAAGAAACCAAUGGAAGUGAAAAUAGAAGUACACCCAGACUGAAUGAGAGGAUCCUUUCAUCUAUGUCGAAGAGAACUGUUGCUGCACAUCCUUGGCAUGAUCUUGAGAUCGGACCUGGAGCUCCUACCAUCUUCAAUGUUGUUGUUGAGAUAACAAAGGGAAGUAAGGUCAAAUAUGAACUAGACAAGAAGACAGGACUUAUUAAGGUUGAUCGGAUUUUGUACUCAUCAGUGGUCUAUCCUCAUAACUACGGUUUCAUACCUCGCACAUUGUGUGAAGAUAAUGAUCCCUUAGAUGUAUUGGUUCUCAUGCAGGAGCC
rnacentral:misc_RNA from 1 species